GUAUUUCGGUAUGUAAAGCUCUAUCAGCAGGGAAGAAAAUGACGGUACCUGACUAAGAAGCCCCGGCUAACUACGUGCCAGCAGCCGCGGUAAUACGUAGGGGGCAAGCGUUAUCCGGAAUUACUGGGUGUAAAGGGUGCGUAGGUGGUAUGGCAAGUCAGAAGUGAAAACCCAGGGCUUAACUCUGGGACUGCUUUUGAAACUGUCAGACUGGAGUGCAGGAGAGGUAAGCGGAAUUCCUAGUGUAGCGGUGAAAUGCGUAGAUAUUAGGAGGAACAUCAGUGGCGAAGGCGGCUUACUGGACUGAAACUGACACUGAGGCACGAAAGCGUGGGGAGCAAACAGG
rnacentral:rRNA from 1 species